CGCGUACAUGAUCUAGGUGUCGGGGGUCGACCUCGGUGCCGCAGUUAACACAAUAAGUAUUCCGCCUGGGGAGUACGAUCGCAAGAUUAAAACUCAAAGGAAUUGACGGGGGCCCGCACAAGCAGCGGAGCAUGUGGUUUAAUUCGAAGCAACGCGAAGAACCUUACCUAGACUUGACAUCCCCUGCAUAACCCAGGGAUGGGCGAAGUCCUUCGGGACAGGGUGACAGGUGGUGCAUGGUUGUCGUCAGCUCGUGUCGUGAGAUGUUGGGUUAAGUCCCGCAACGAGCGCAACCCUUAUCAUUAGUUGCUACCAUUAAGUUGAGCACUCUAGUGAGACUGCCCGGGUUAACCGGGAGGAAGGUGGGGAUGACGUCAAAUCAUCAUGCCCCUUAUGUCUAGGGCUACACACGUGCUACAAUGGUGAGUACAAAGAGAUGCAAGACCGCAAGGUGGAGCCAAACUCAAAAACUCAUCCCAGUUCGGAUUGUAGGCUGCAACUCGCCUACAUGAAGCCGGAGUUGCUAGUAAUCGCGAAUCAGCAUGUCGCGGUGAAUACGUUCCCGGGCCUUGUACACACCGCCCGUCACACCAUGAGAGCUGGUAACACCCGAAGUCCGUGAGGUAACCGUAAGGAGCCAGCGGCCGAAGGUGGGAUUAGUGAUUGGGGUGA
rnacentral:rRNA from 1 species